UACGUAGGGUGCAAGCGUUAAUCGGAAUUACUGGGCGUAAAGCGUGCGCAGGCGGUUAUGUAAGACAGAUGUGAAAUCCCCCGGGCUCAACCUGGGAACUGCAUUUGUGACUGCAUAGCUAGAGUACGGUAGAGGGGGAUGGAAUUCCGCGUGUAGCAGUGAAAUGCGUAGAUAUGCGGAGGAACACCGAUGGCGAAGGCAAUCCCCUGGACCUGUACUGACGCUCAUGCACGAAAGCGUGGGGAGCAAACAGG
rnacentral:rRNA from 1 species